rnacentral:rRNA from 1 species
AUGGGCGCGGACGAGGAGGAGCGCCAGUCGCCCUCGCGGAAGCGCGAGCGCGGGGAGGAGCCGGCCGACGGCGCCGCCGAGAAGCGCCCGCGCGCGGCGGACGAGUCGGAGGGCGCGUCGCUGCUCGGGCUCGCCAACUACGCGGACGAGGAGGAGGAGGAGCGCGGGGCCCCGAGGGGGCACGCGAACGGCCGGCCACGGGAGGAGGAGGAGGAGGAGGGGGAAGACGAGGAGGACGAGGAGGAGGAGGACGAGAGGAGGGCUCCGGAGAGGCGGCCCAGGCAGGUGGAGCUGCGCCGGGACUGCCCCUACCUCGACACCGUCAACCGACAGGUCCUUGAUUUUGACUUUGAGAAGUUCUGUUCAAUCUCCUUAUCGAAUUUGAAUGUAUAUGCAUGCCUAGUUUGUGGAAAGUAUUACCAAGGAAGAGGCUUGAAAUCGCAUGCAUAUACCCACAGUCUUGAGGCAGGCCACCAUGUCUUCAUUAAUCUCCAGACUGAGAAAGUUUACUGUCUUCCUGAUGGAUAUGAGAUAAAUGAUCCAUCACUAGAAGAUAUUCGACAUGUUCUCAAUCCAAGGUUUGCAAGAGAGCAGGUUAAAAUUCUUGACAAGAACAAGCAAUGGUCAAGAGCUCUGGAUGGCUCCAAUUAUUUACCUGGAAUGGUUGGUCUUAACAACAUUAAGGAGACUGAUUUUGUGAACGUCACAAUACAAUCACUGAUGAGGAUUACCCCUUUGAGAAAUUUCUUUCUCAUACCUGAAAAUUAUCAGCAUAGCAAAUCCCCACUGGUUCAUCGGUUUGGAGAACUAACUCGGAAGAUUUGGCAUGCUAGGAACUUCAAGGGCCAAGUUAGUCCACAUGAGUUCCUUCAAGCAGUUAUGAAGGCUAGUGAGAAGAAGUUUCAGAUUGGUGUACAGUCUGAUCCAGUGGAGUUUAUGUCAUGGCUCUUGAACACGUUGCAUGCGAAGCUAAGAAGUUCAAAGAAGAAAAACAGAAGCAUCAUAUAUGAUUGCUUUCAGGGAGAACUUGAAGUUGUCAAGGAAAUUCACAGGAAGCAUUUAGUGGAUGAUGAGCAGAAUGGUGAGGCAGGUUCACAGGUUGAAACAACAAGUGACGGUAUGGUCACUCAAACGUCUAGGGUCCCGUUCUUGAUGCUCGGUCUUGACCUGCCACCGCCACCUCUUUUCAAAGAUGCCAUGGAGAAAAACAUUAUUCCACAGGUACCACUGUUCAAUAUACUGAAGAAGUUCGAUGGUGAGACAGUUACAGAGGUGGUACGGCCAUCUAUUGCCCGGAUGAGGUACCGAGUCAUCAGACUUCCAAAGUAUAUGAUCCUUCACAUGCGACGGUUCACCAAAAACAACUUCUUUGUGGAGAAAAACCCAACUCUAGUAAAUUUCCCCGUGAAGAACUUGGAACUGAAGGACUACAUCCCAUUGCCCAAGCCAAAAGAGAACGAGAAGCUGCGCUCGAAGUAUGAUCUCAUAGCCAACAUCGUACACGACGGCAAGCCGGGUGAAGGAUGCUACAGAGUAUUCGUGCAGCGGAAAUCAGAGGAGGCGUGGUACGAGAUGCAGGAUCUCCAUGUCACCGAGACCCUUCCGCAGAUGGUGGCUCUCUCUGAAGCCUACAUGCAGAUAUACGAGCAGCACGAGUGA